CAGCAGCCACGGGAAUACGAAGGGUGCAAGCGUUACUCGGAAUUACUGGGCGUAAAGCGUGCGUAGGUGGUUGUUUAAGUCUGCCGUGAAAGCCCUGGGCUCAACCUGGGAAUUGCAGUGGAUACUGGGCAACUAGAGUAAGGUAGAGGAUAGUGGAAUUUCCGGUGUAGCAGUGAAAUGCGUAGAGAUCGGAAGGAACAUCUGUGGCGAAGGCGACUAUCUGGGCCAUUACUGACACUGAGGCACGAAAGCGUGGGGAGCAAACAGGAUUAGAUACCCCCGUAGUCCCUGUCUCUUAUAC
rnacentral:rRNA from 1 species